rfam:Hydrogenibacillus schlegelii strain DSM 2000 scaffold152, whole genome shotgun sequence.
AGCCAAGUGCGGACGGGAUAAGCGCUGAAAGCAUCUAAGCGCGAAGCCCACCCCAAGAUGAGAUUUCCCACCGGCUUGACCGGGUAAGACCCCUCGUAGACGACGAGGUCGAUCGGUCCGAGGUGGAAGCGCGGUAACGCGUGAAGCUGACGGAUCCGAAUCGGUCGAGGCUUUGCCCCC